rnacentral:lncRNA from 1 species
UUUUUUUUUUUUUUUUUUUUUUAAUUUCACACCAGAAGACCGUAGCUGUUAUGGUCAGAGACAGACUCAGAGGGUGCCACAUGGGCCAUCCUCGUCUGCUGGAUGCAGAGGUUCAGAGCUAGCCCAAUUCACUGGUUUUAGAGCCAGCCUUCUGAGCGUGUUCUUGCCUCCUGCCCUGGAAAGGGACAUGGUCCGUCGCCCUGCACGGCCUCCAGCCCUGUGGCCAGAUGCGGCACGAAGUCCCCAGCCUUGUCACCUGUGCCCUGUGAGUGGAGCUGGGCGGGGGGCACUUCGCGUCUUUCGUGCCUCACUGGAUAUCAUCAUGAUGCCUUGGAGAAGGGCCCGCCUGUGUGCCGGGUCCCUGGGCUGAGCCCAUGCGUUGUACAUGGGUACUGCCCUGCCUCCGCCGCUACCCUGUAGACCCCACCAGCCAUCCCCUCAUCAGACCCCUCUUCCCAGCUCCCUGAGGCCAGCCGUCCUCAGGAGCCCCACAGACCCUGACACCUCACUCUUGUACUCACUACUUACCUGAGCUGACAGCAGGGUCUCCCCCCGCACCCCUGGCACUGCUGAUGUUCAGGACGGGCAGGGCCUCUGUGACGGGACGUCCUGAGCACUGCUGGGUACAGAGCAACGAUCUGGCCUUUACCUACCACGUAAUGGGAGCCAGUAGCACCCACCGUCCAGAUAAGAUGACCCAAAAUGUUUCAGACCUUGCCAGAUGUCCCCUAGUCUCUCUCUCCCACUGAGACAACUGCCAUGGAACUGGGCUGCCCUCUGGAUGGCCAGUGGCGUGGACUCAGGGCUCCUUACACUGUGGUAGUGCAGUGGCCAACACCGACAGAACAGUAGCCUGUGGGUCCCGGGUAGAGAGGAGGCUGGCUUGGCCCAACCCUGCCCUGCUCAGUGGUUUGGGGUGCCCAUCACCCUGUCUGCACCCCAUCUCCUCAUCUGUAGAAGGCCGUAAUGAGAGCUGCCUUGCAGGUGUCAUGGCACACGGGGUCAUUGGAGCCCCCACUUUGCAGGUCUCACCCGCUCGUCCAGCCCCUGUGGUGCCUGUGUGCCUGGCCAUCUUGGGGACUCUCUAGGACUUGGCCAUGGGAGCAGAGAAGUGUCCUUGCAGCACCCCAGCCCCUCGCUCAGUGCAGGCCCUGGGCACUGGAGGGGUGCCAGAUACAGGGACAGGAUGUCUAGGAGGUGUUGUGUUAUGAUGAUGCCUUUAAAAUCUAGCAGAGAAAACGGCUGAGUGCUGGGCUGUCCUGCCCAGGUGGAGGCCACUGGUUGGAAAGAGGUGAGGGUCGCAGCUAUCCUGGAGCCUUACGGGAGCUCGGGGUUGCUUUGACCAUGGUAGCUGCUGGCCUUGGCAGAGAGAACAGCAGGGUCUGACUGCAUGGUGGUCCCUGGGGCUCAGUUUCCCAGGUUCACAGACACAGGGAGCGUCUCAGGGCCUCAGAGACCAUUCUCACGCGGCAGGGCUUGUCUCGGCAAUCCCGUGGGGACUGUGUUAUUUAUAAACUGUUUAACAUAUUCAUUCUUAGAAAUCUGACAUUUCUAAAUUCCAGCCAAACUGAGACUCACACAGCCUUGGAAGGUGACGAGCCAUGGGGUGGGGGUGGCUCUGGAGAGGCCCCUCCCUGAGCCCUGGACGCCCCAGGCGGUGAGAGGGUGGGAGGCCACUGUGAAGGGGGCUGAGGGACAGCUGGAAUUUGGCAAGUAAGUGAGGCCUUUUGGUAGGGAGGGGGCCCAGGCUGUGAGAAAUGCCCAGCAACAAAGGGCUCUGGCAGGAGGACAGAGAGGGGACAGCCAGGGGCUGGGGGUGCCCACAGGGUGGGGAUGAUGACCACGAAGAGGACCAGAGGACAGCCAGGGAAACAGGGAGGAAGCAGAGCCCAUGUGCCCCUCCCAUCCCACCUCCACCCCCAUCACCCCACUUUCCUCCCGGGGCAGAUCCUCCCACACACCUGCUGGGUGUGUGGACGAGCAGGGCUGGCUUCUGUCCUGUGGGGGCCAGUCAGCGCCCGGGGUCUGUUCACCUCUGUGGCCGCGGCAGGGCAGCGAGUGGCGAGAGUGGGUGGGAGGGGUCAGUUGGUGUCCCAGGAGCCAUGGGUAGGGGGGGUCUGUGCCUGCAGGGCUGAGUCACAAAGGGACAUGGGUGCUCGUGGCCUGGUGAGGGGUUGGGGAGGAGUGUUGGGGCUGGGUCUCCACUCACACCGCAGGCUGUUGGGGCCUGGGGCACACCCAGUAGAGCCCACCUGAGCCAGGGCAGGACAGAGGACGGGGAGGGAGGGAGGAGCUGGGGCAGCUGGAGUGUGCUCUGCUGCUCGGGGUGCUGUGGGGGCUGUCAUGGGCACCCUGCCUCGGCUGCUGAAGGGGAGGCAGUGAUGGUGGUCUUCCUGGAAGUCCAGCAGCUCCCUGGUCCCCCCCGACUUCAGCAGGCAUGGUGGCGCUGGACGGAGGCCCCCAGCUGUGGCCUUUCACCUGUGGCCUCUGUGCUCUCUCUGGGGUGCUUGGGGCUGCUGCUGCGGUGCUCCAUUGGAAUCGGUUUGUUUUUAUUUGUUUUAUUUUAUUUUAUUUUUUUUGAGACGCAGUUUCACUCUUGUUGCCCAGGCUGGAGUGCAGUGGUGCGGUCUCAGCUCACUGCAACCUCUGCCUCCUGGGUUCAAGCGAUUCUCCUACCUCAGCCUCCCGAGUAGCUAGGACUAUAGGCACACGCCACCACGCCCGGCUAAUUUUUGUAUUUUUAGUAGAGACGGGUUUCCCCAUGUUGUCCAGGCUCCUGACCUCAGGUGAUCCGCCCACCUCAGCCUCCCAAAGUGCUGGGAUUACAAACAUGAGCCACCACGCCUGGCCUGGAAUCGGUUUUUAUGUGUUGGAAUAGAGGACUUCCUGUGUGUGCAGGCUGUGUCCUGGCAGUGCGGGUGACAGACCGUGGAGAAGAUGCCCCCGGGCUUGACCUCGGCUUCCUGUUAUUGGGCAUCUUUCCACAGAGAUCUCAGCAUCUGUCCACAUUUGGAUGGUGGCACAGAGAUCUUAAAAUUAGGACGUAACUCUCGAUUUCGGUUUGUCUCAGCGGCUGUGUGUCACUGCGGGUAGGGAGGGUGUGCCCUGAAAACUGUUCCAGAAUUUAGAUGUUGAAAGUCCUAGAAACAUCACCCUAAGGAAGUGGUCUUGGAAAUGGGUGACAAUUCCAGGAGGUGAGACAGCUCUCUGCACUUGGGAGACUUGGGGGGCUGAAGGGAGACCUGGGGCAGGGCCGAGUGGGCUGGACUCUUGCUGGACUUUGACACAUAAAGGGAGGCCUAGUCUGAGGCCUGCGGGGGUUGAGUCCAGGUUUGAGAUCUGGGAAACUGAGGGGCUCAGUAUGUCUGAGGAGGGAGGAGGGGCCUCCCCAACCCCCCACAGGGCCUGCAGGGCUCUGCUGCUCCCCCACACCAGGCACGGUGGAGGUGCCAGGCUUGGAGGGAUCAUGGCGGGUACUCUGCACCUCCAUCCAGAACCCAGCAGUCCGUCAAUAGUUUCUUUUCUUUUCUUUUCUUUUUUUUUUUUUUUUUUGAGACAGUCUCUGUUGCCCAGGCUGGAGUGCCGUGAUCUCAGCUCACUGCAACCUCUUCCUCCUGGGUUCAAGUGAUUCUCUUGCCUCAGCCUCCCGAGUAGCUGGGAUUAUAGGUGCCCACCACCGUGCCUGGCUAAUUUUUGUAUUUUUGGUAGAGACAGGGUUUCACCACGUUGGCCAGGCUGGUCUUAAACUCCUGACCUCAAGUGAUCCACCUGCCUUGGCCUCCCAAGGUGCUGGGAUUACAGGCGUGAGCGACCACGCCCAGCCAGUAGUUUCUUUUUGACGGGAGGGCAAGGAUGGGUAGAAUAGAUUUAUUUUUUAAAAUCCUUGUGAAUGUCAUUAAUAAAGUAAAACAUCAUUGUAAAAAUUCAAAGAGAAGUGCAUCACGUAGCAAAUCGAUGCUUUGCUUUUUAUUUUUAUUAACUAAUUUAUUUUGAGACCAAGUCUCACUCUGUCACCCAAGCUGGAGUGCAGUGGCAUGAUCUCAACUCACUGCAGUUAGUUAGAUCUCGACUCAGUGCAGCCUCCGCCUCUCAGGCUCAAGCAGUCCUCCCACUUCAGCCUCCCCAGUAGCUGGGACUACAGGUGCAUACCCAUUUUUGUAUUGUUUGUAGAGACCAGGUCUUGCUGUGUUGCCCAGGCUGGUCUCAAACUCCUGGGCUCAAAUGAUUUUCCCACUUCAGCCUUCCAAAGGGCUGGGAUUAUGAGUAUGAGCCACCGUGCCUGGCUUGCAAGUUGCUUUUUAAGGAUGUUUGAUUGCACACCUUGCAUUCUAUCAAAUGAAGACCUUCCUUGCUCUUUUUGUGUUUUUUUUUUGAGACAGAGUCUUGCUCUGUCACCCAGGCUGGAAUGCAGUGGCGUGAUCUCAGCUCAUUGCAAACUCAGCUUCCCUGGUUCACGCCAUUCUCCUGCCUCAGCCUCCAGAGUAGCUGGGACUACAGGCGCCCGCCACCACGCCCGGCUAAUUUUUUGUAUUUUUAAUAGAGAUGGGGUUUCACCGUGUUAGCCAGGAUGGUCUCGAUCUCCUGACCUCGUGAUCCGCCCGCCUUGGCCUCCCAAAAUGCUGGGGUUACAGGUGUGAGCCACCCUGCCCGGCUUUUCCUUGUUCUUUUGAGAUGGUUUCAUUUUCUACUGCGUUGGUGUAUUGCGAUGUAUUCAGCCAGCACUUUUCUCUUUUGUAUUUGUCUCCAAGUUUCUUUUUCAUAUAACGUUUCAGGGAACAUUAGUUUGAUGUGUGAUCUGUGUGUGUAAGUAACUUUUGAGGUUAUGCUGAGGAAUAAAUUUUCAGAAGUGAAAUUAUUGGUGCGGAGGGUUUGCAUUUCUUACAUCUGAUAACUGUGGUCAAAUGGCCUCGGGAAUAUUUGUGCUAAUUUCUGCUAGAGCCCGCAGUGUGUGAGGAUGAAAUCUGCCAUAUUUUCAUCCUCACUGGAGAGAUUAGAUCUUUUAAUCUUUUCUAAUCCUCUAGGUAAAAAUAAAUGUCUUCCUUUUUUGAUUUGCAUAUCUCUUUGGGGAAAGUGCAGUUUUUUUAUCUUUAGCAGCCAUUCCUGUUUUUUUGUUUUUUUUGUUUUUUUUUUGAGGCAGAGUCUCGCUCUGUUGCCAGGCUGGGAUACAGUGGCGCAAUCUCGACUCACUGCAAGCUCCGCCUCCUGGGUUCAAGCGAUUCUCCUGCCUUAGCCUCCUGAGUAGCUGGGACUACAGGUGCCCACCACGACACCCAGCUAAUUUUUUUGUGUUUUUAGUAGAGAUGAGGUUUCAACAUAUUGGCCAGGCUGAUCUCGAACUCCUGACCUUGUGAUCCACCUGCCUUGGCCUCCCAAAGUGCUGGGAUUACAGGUGUGAGCCACCGCACCUGGCCAGCCAUUCCUGUUUUCUCUGUGAAUUGCCAGUCUACAGUUUCAGUUAGAUUGCUUGUCUUUUAUCGAUUUACAUUUCUUUAACUAUUUUGAAUUUUUAACUUCUUGCAAGUAUCUUUCAUAAUUUUGAAUUUUUUUUUUAACUCAAUGGUAUCGUUUUGCCAUGUAGGUUUUAAAUGUUUAUGUUUUUCUUUUUCUUUUCUUGAGACAAGGUCUUGCUCUGUCGCCCAGGCCGGAGUGCAGUGGUACUGUCAUAGCUCACUGUAACCUCAAAUCCUGGGCUGAAGCCAUCCUCCUGCCUCAGCCUCCUAAGUAGCUGGGACUACAGAUGCACAUCGUCACACCUGGCUGCUUUUUACAUUUUUUAGUUUUUGUAUGAGGUCUUGCUGUGUUGCCAGGGCUGGUCUCAAACUCCUGGCCUUAAGCAGUUCUCCCGCCUCAGCCUCCCAAAGUGCUAGAAUCGCCCAGCCUUAAAUAUUUUUCAUUGUGGGAUCUCCGUCUUGUUCAUUAGUGGCUUCUGUGUGCCGUUGGGCAACUUGCUUAACUUCUUUGGGCCCUGUUUUCUGUUUUUUAAAAUAGGGACAGUAAUACUGACCCCGUAGGGUUGUGUGAGGCGUAAUUGAAGGAACGGGCGGAGCAAGAAGUGCCUGGUCCAACCUCUGGCCUCUUGGCUUCUUCUUGCUGGGAUGCAGUUGGUUGAGUUCAUAGUGAAUUUGGUUCUUUCUGUGUCUCAGUAGCCUCCCGUGGUCACAGUGGGGACGGCUGUAGGGGCCUCCCCGGUGCCCUCACCACCACGAGGUGUGACUGGGAGGGGAGAUCAGUGCCCCCAGGUUGGGAACCAGAAGGAAGUACAAGUGGGCUUCCGUCCUGCAUGCUCAGCACCCUCUCAGCUGCCCUGGUAGCGUCUGGCACGAAAGGGUCGCUGGAAGCAGAGGCUGAGUCUCCCAGCAAAGGGUCUGCUGCCCUCCUGGCUGGAUUGCUGGAGGCUGGCCUCUAUUCCAAGGACUCCGAGUCUGCUUGGUUCUUAGGUCCUGUCCCUGUCCUGGGAUUAUAGCUAAGCUGAGUCUUGUCCAUCUGAGGCCAUCUGAGGCCACUUACCUCAUCAGGGGAGAGCCUUCCCUGACUGUUAAGGGGCAAAGCUGCUGCAGAGGGUGGGCACGGAGAAGGGGGGAUAUCCUGGAGUUGCCCUUGGAGUGAACGCUUCCAACUCGAACCUUUGAUCUGCUCUCCAAGUACCCUGGCCUGUGGGGACCUGCUCCCAGGGUGCACACUCUUGUGCAGCUUGCUGUCUCCUGGGAAUUAUGUUAAAGUCAUCAGUGGCUGUACCACCUCUUACGGAGCGUGCUUCUUUGAAAACGCCUUGCUGCUGAUUUUGGCCGGGGUAGUUUAAUAGUUAAGGUUAAGGGGGAACAGUCAGAGAGAGGCAGGAGAGUGUGGGGCUGUGAUCGUGGGGUUCAUAUGUCACUUGCCUGGUGACCUCAGGUUUGUCACUCAGCUUCUGAGAACCUCGAUUUCUUCAUAUGACAGUGAGGUGGUGAGACCAAUUUCACAGAGAUUUGCAAAGCACAGAGCAAAGUAUUAGCCAUGCCACUGGGGCUUCGGAAGAGUCACCUUUGUCACUAGUGACUUUGAUCACCAAUUUCUCAAUAACGUCCCUCCCUCCAUUCCUCCCUCACUCCCUCCCUUUCUUCCUCCUUCCCUCCCUCUCUUCCCUCCUCUUUCUCCCUUCCUUCCCCCUUCCUCCCCUCUCCCUUCCUCCCCUCCCCCACCUUCCUCCCCUCCCCCACCUUCCUCCCCUCCCCUCCCUCCCCUCCCCCUCCCUCCUCCCACCUCCCUCCCCUCCCCCUCCCUCCUCCCACCUUCCUCCCCUUUCCCUUGCCUUCCUUUUUUUUUCUUGAGAUGGGGUCUCACUCUGUCACCCAGACUGGAGUGCAGUGGCAUGAUCAUAGCUCACUGCAACCUUGACCUCCUAGGCUCAAGCGAUCCUCCCACCUCAACCUCCUGAGUAACUGGGACUGCAGACUUGUGUGCCACUGUGCCCAGCUAAUUUAUUUUUUCUAGAGAUGGGUUAUUGCUACCUUGCCCAGACUGGUCUCCAAAUCCUGGGCUCAAGGGAUUCUCCUACUUUGGCCUCCCAAAGUGCUGGGGUUACAGGCCUGAACCACCACGCCCAGCCCUGUUUUCCAAACGGCAGUUUUCUGAGUAGUUUAUAAAAAUGUCAUGAACUUCCUCUGCUCCUUCAGAAUGAAGUGAGUCACAUAUCACUCCCUGGAGGGCACAGAUCAGAUGAUUUUUCUUUGUUUUCUCUUCAAGACAAGGAAGCUUAUGACUGUGCUGGAGGGGGAAAUCUUUGGGAAUUCUUUUUGGGGAAUUACUCUUGGAGUUCAUGGAAAGAUCUAUUCUGUUAAUUCUUAUCUGAGAUGUCAGUGUUGAAGGGAGUGAUGUUUGAAAUUUAGAAAAAAACAUAACAUUUCAGGUCUUUGUUGCAUUGACUGAAGGAAAAAGGGCACAUCAUUCAGUGUUUUGGCUCACAGCUUGUUUUCAGCUUUCAGGGCUGGAUAUUUGCUGUUUCCGUAGGUUCCUAUGAGAUGCUACUUCAUGAAAAGGUCUCCUAUUAGCUUCUUUAAAUGUCCGUUUAAAAUUUUUCUUAGUGGGGACGGGUGCGGUGGCUCACGCCUGUCAUCCCAGCACUCUGGGAGGCUGAGGCGGGCGGAUCACCUGAGGUCAGGAGUUUGAGACCAGCCUGGCCAACAUGGUGAAACCCCGUCUCUACUAAAAAUACAAAAAUUAGCCCAGUGUGGUGGUGUGUGCCUGUAAUCCCAGCAACUUGGGAGGCUGAGGCAGGAGAAUGGCUUGAACCGGGAGGUGGAAGUUACAGUGACCUGAGAUCACACCACUGCACUCCAGCCCGGGCAACAGAGCAAGACUCUGUCUCAAAAGAAAAAAAAAUUAACUGGGCGUGGUGGCAGUGCCUGUAAUCCCAGCUACUUCGGAGGCCAAGGCAGGAGAAUUGCUUGGACCUGGGAGGCGGAGGUUGCAGUGAGCUGAGAUCGUGCCAAUGCACUCUAACCUGGGUGACAGAGCAAGAGUCCGUCUCAAAAUAAAAUAAAAAAAAUAAAAAAUUUAAAAAAAAAAAAAAA